UCUGUUGCGGUACAACUUAUUAUGUGCGCAUUUAAUAUGCGCCUAUAUUAAAAUCUUAUUUAACAGAU
rnacentral:tRNA from 1 species